rnacentral:rRNA from 1 species
UACGAAGGGGGCUAGCGUUGCUCGGAAUCACUGGGCGUAAAGCGCACGUAGGCGGAUUGUUAAGUCAGGGGUGAAAUCCUGGAGCUCAACUCCAGAACUGCCUUUGAUACUGGCGAUCUUGAGUCCGGGAGAGGUGAGUGGAACUCCGAGUGUAGAGGUGAAAUUCGUAGAUAUUCGGAAUAACACCAGUGGCGAAGGCGGCUCACUGGCCCGGUACUGACGCUGAGGUGCGAAAGCGUGGGGAGCAAACAGG